rnacentral:rRNA from 1 species
GCAUAUCAAUAAGCGGAGGAAAAGAAACCAACAGGGAUUGCCCUAGUAACGGCGAGUGAAGCGGCAACAGCUCAAAUUUGAAAUCUGGCGCAAGCCCGAGUUGUAAUUUGUAGAGGAUGCUUCUGGGUAGCGGCCGGUCUAAGUUCCUUGGAACAGGACGUCAUAGAGGGUGAGAAUCCCGUAUGUGACUGGCUUGCACCCUCCACGUAGCUCCUUCGACGAGUCGAGUUGUUUGGGAAUGCAGCUCUAAAUGGGAGGUAAAUUUCUUCUAAAGCUAAAUACCGGCCAGAGACCGAUAGCGCACAAGUAGAGUGAUCGAAAGAUGAAAAGCACUUUGGAAAGAGAGUUAAAAAGCACGUGAAAUUGUUGAAAGGGAAGCGCCCGCAACCAGACUUUGCGGCAGUGUUCGGCCGGUCUUCUGACCGGUUUACUCGCUGUCGUGAGGCCAUCAUCGUCUGGGACCGCUGGAUAAGACCUUAGGAAUGUGGCUCCCCUCGGGGAGUGUUAUAGCCUCUGGUGAUGCAGCGCGUCUCGGGCGAGGUCCGCGCUCCGGCAAGGAUGAUGGCGUAAUGGUUGUCGGCGGCCCGUCUUGAAACACGGACCAAGGAGUCUAACAUCUAUGCGAGUGUUCGGGUGUCAAACCCCUACGCGUAAUGAAAGUGAACGGAGGUGGGAACUUUUUGUGCACCAUCGACCGAUCCUGAUGUCCUCGGAUGGAUUUGAGUAAGAGCAUAGCUGUUGGGACCCGAAAGAUGGUGAACUAUGCCUGAAUAGGGUGAAGCCAGAGGAAACUCUGGUGGAGGCUCGCAGCGGUUCUGACGUGCAAAUCGAUCGUCAAAUUUGGGUAUAGGGGCGAAAGACUAAUCGAACCAUCUAGUAGCUGGUUCCUGCG